rnacentral:rRNA from 1 species
CCUACGGGAGGCAGCAGUCGAGAAUCAUUCACAAUGGGGGAAACCCUGAUGGUGCGACGCCGCGUGGGGGAAUGAAGGUCUUCGGAUUGUAAACCCCUGUCAUGUGGGAGCAAAUUAAAAAGAUAGUACCACAAGAGGAAGAGACGGCUAACUCUGUGCCAGCAGCCGCCGUAAUACAGAGGUCUCAAGCGUUGUUCGGAAGCACUGGGCGUAAAGCGUGCGUAGGCUGUUUCGUAAGUCGUGUGUGAAAGGCGCGGGCUCAACCCGCGGACGGCACAUGAUACUGCGAGACUAGAGUAAAGGAGGGGGAACUGGAAUUCCCGGUGUAGCAGUGAAAUGCGUAGAUAUCGGGAGGAACACUAGUGGCGAAGGCGGGUUCCUGGACAUUAACUGACGCUGAGGCACGAAGGCGAGGGGAGCGAAAGGGAUUAGAUACCCCUGUAGUC